GAGUGUUUGUGAGUGUGUGUGUGAUAGAGUAUAAAAGAGGCAGAGAGUUUUUCAAAUUAAUGAGAACUGUGAAAGAAAGAGAGGGACCAGUAAUGGAAGUAAACCAAAAACAAAACUAAAAAUAAUAAUAGCAAUAUUUUUUUUUAUUAUUCUUUAUGAAGAAAAUGUGAAUUGUGCUUGACUUCCCAAGGCGAAUAGAAGAUUUGUUUAAAGGAACCUUGCAGACUUCACUGAAGUGUCAUUCUCCCUCAGAAGUGCUCACUGCAACCAAACCUGAACCCAGGCCUGAGGGGGUCCUAAGAACAUGUGUUCCAGCACAGCUGAAGGAAAACCACCCGCUUAGAUGCAAGGU